rnacentral:lncRNA from 1 species
AUGGAGAAGCUUACAAUUCUGUUCUCUCCUCUCCUCCCCCCAUCAGACAUGCUAACUGGCACUUGUUUUAUCUACGAAGGCUAGCCUGUGGCAGUGGCAUAGUGUGACAGCUGGAAAAUUCGGGGACCUCAGCGAGUCAACGCACAGAGUUACCACAAACAGAAGCAUGCUGUGAACCAGUUGUCAAAGUCUCCAGCCGGGCUUUCCCUCACACUCAUCUCACACGAAUCUUAAUCCGAUCAGGAGAGAGAUAAAAGCAGACCCUGAGGUUCCUGUGCAUCUCUCUAAAGGAGGGAAAAUUUUCUUUCUUUCAAGAGGGGUGACCUGGCCAUAAUAACCUUUGGGGUGGCUAAAUGGCCUUGGUGUUCUGAGCAAAAAAAGAAAGAAAGGAAAUGAGACUUUUUUUUGUGUGUUCCAUUUAGGGAAAUGAGGAAGUGGAAUGGUUUCUCUCCAGGCCCGAUCCCUUUCUGAGAGUCGGUUUGGAGGUAAUGUCAUAAUUUCAGGCUCUCCUUGCAGAAAUCCUCCUUGCAUUUCAUAUCAGGUUCUAAAUAAAGACGUGCUCUUGGUUGACUUGUAGCUGUUGUCAAUAUUAGGUUAUAAGCACUGGGUAAGGGCUGGAGCCCAAUCAAAGUAUGCUUAUAAUAAUGAUCAUUCAGAGGGAGCGACAGUGACCACACAGAUCCUGGCUAAUACCAUCCAAACCCGAAUCCAGGAAAAUGCUGCCUGGAAGCAUUCCUCCCUACCAAUCACACCUUCAGACAGGGAAGCUGGGUGACUGGUCCAGUUUCCAGACCCUGAUAUAUUCAAAUCAACUGGUAGUCACUGAGUGACCAGAAAGUAGCCAGCAGGCACUGUGGCUUUAGCAUGCGUCAGGCAUUUCUAGUCAGUCUUUAAUUUGCAAAGGCCAAUCGGGUUCGACCCCAACGUGAGAGACGGAACAACAAAUCAAGGAUGACCUCAGUUCCUGCAGCAGGUUUAAUCCAGGCAGCCGAGGCAGCCCCUGAGCCUCUUUCUCAAAGACUAAACCACUCAGAGCAGGAAGCGCUGGUCCAUCUACCACGUAGAUGCAGAUCGUCCCUCUGAGAAGUAGGACAGGUUCCCAAGUCUUUCUCUCCUUUCUCUCUAGGUCCCUUCAAAGAAAAAGCCAUCCCCUCCUCCAUCUCAGCGUGGGACACACAAGUGUAACCUUUUCUACCAAAAGAGGAAGGUCUGGAGGACACUAGCAGCUACCAGGAGUUUCUCUAUGACUCGAAGCCCCUUGGCUCUCGGCUGGGGCAGCCGGAAUCCACAUUUAAAAGCAUCUUGUUUCCUCUUCUUCUCUAGGUUAGUGCCCAGCUAAGAAUAGCGCGCCAUUCAUGCCCAUGUGUACACAUCCUUUUCACUUGCUGUUUUCUCUUAUAUAUGCAUGAAACCCUGUUCUUGCAUAUCUUCCAAGGUAAACAAAAAUAUUUUUAAGUGGGCACAGAGCAGCAGUUUUAUUCCCUGUCCAGUCUUCAAGAAGGCACUGCCCGGAGGAACUCCGCUCCAGAACCGAGUGUCACAGGAAUGGUUGAGGCACCGGCUUCCUCUCUGAAGCCCCAAAGAGAGACUCACACUCAGAGAUGGGAACCCAGUGGCAACAAGCUUAGGAUUCCCUCGAUCUGCCCAGACUCACCUCUGUGGAUGUCCUAAACCUACAGGAGACCAGAAGGCCAUAAAAUUGGUCUCAUUUUAUUAAGUUGAACCAUAUGAAACUACCUACAAAAUGAGGAUUUCAUAUGACUUAAACUAACAGAAUCCUAAAAAAGCUAAUCAGGCAUUUUGCAAUGAGCAAGAAUGCAAAAUCCAUUAUUUCCCAGAUAGCUCCACCCAUGACCAUUUCCUAUUAGACUUUUUUUUUUUUUUUUUUUUUUUUUUUUUUGGCUGCGCCCAUGGCAUAUGGAAGUUCCUGGGCCAGGGAUUGAACCGGUGCCACAGCAGCAGCAGCAACCCGAGCCGCUGCAGUGAUCACAUCCAAUCCUUAAGCCGCUGCACCACAGGAGAACUCCUUCCUAUUAAUCUUUAGCUUGGCAUUGGUAACAAAUAUCUUUUCUCUCCAUUCCUUCCCUAUCUGUAUCCAUAUCCACAUCCAACACCAUUCCUGGUCCUCAAGAGCUCACGAGUAACAGGCAAAUAGAACACAGGGUGAGCAGUUGCCCUUGUGGUGAAGGGGAAACAAAUCCGAGUAGGAACCAUGAGGUUGCAGGUUCGAUCCCUGGCCUCGCUCAGUGGGUUAGGGUUCUGGCGUUGCCAUGAGCUGUCAUGUAGGUCACAGAGGCGGUUCAGAUCCUUUGUUGCUAGGGCUGUGGCGUAGGCUGGCAGAUGUAGCUCCAAUUCCACCCCUGGCCUGGGAACCUCCAUAUGCUGAGGGUGGGCCCAUAAAAAGCAAAAAAAAAAAAAAGAAGGAAGAACACAGGGUGAAAACUGCUACUCUAUAGAAAAAUACACAGUCUGCAUGUAGCUCAAUUACAACAUUUCCCACACUGAGCUUGGAUGGUCGUUUGUAUGUGGGCCUCGUGAUCUGAUGACACAUACUCAGGGGCAGGAAGAGUGUUCUUUUUGUCUUUGAACCCCUGGCCUCCAGCACAGUUCUCACACACAGUCAGUGCUCAGUGAUGUUUGUUGAGUGACUGAAUGACUCAGAGGCUUGGGGCAUCUCUCUAAACUGAGGCAAGUAAGCAGUGUUCCUAUUACCAACUUUAAUGUUCUUAUCUGUUUUUGGCCACACCCACAGCAUGCAGAAGUUCCUGGG